GCAGUAGCCGCGGGAAUACAGAGGGUGCGAGCGUUAAUCGGAUUUACUGGGCGUAAAGCGUGCGUAGGCGGCUUUUUAAGUCGGAUGUGAAAUCCCUGAGCUUAACUUAGGAAUUGCAUUCGAUACUGGGAAGCUAGAGUAUGGGAGAGGAUGGUAGAAUUCCAGGUGUAGCGGUGAAAUGCGUAGAGAUCUGGAGGAAUACCGAUGGCGAAGGCAGCCAUCUGGCCUAAUACUGACGCUGAGGUACAAAAGCAUGGGGAGCAAACAGGAUUAGAUACCCGAGUAGUCCCUGUCUCUUAUAC
rnacentral:rRNA from 1 species